ensembl:snoRNA SNORD116 Small nucleolar RNA SNORD116
GGAUCAAUGAUAACUCCCACCUAAACAUUCAUUGGAAAAGCUGAACAAAAUGAGUGAAAACUCACUACUGUCUCACUCAUUGAACUGAGGUCC